rnacentral:rRNA from 1 species
GGUUGUCAAGUCAGGUGUGAAAUCCUACAGCUUAACUGUAGAACUGCACUUGAAACUGGCAACCUAGAGUAUGGGAGGGGGAGAUGGAAUUAGUGGUGUAGGGGUAAAAUCCGUAGAUAUCACUAGGAAUACCUAAAGCGAAGGCGAUCUCCUGGAACAUUACUGACGCUAAGGCGUGAAAGCGUGGGGAGCAAACAGGAUUAGAUACCCUGGUAGUCCACGCCCUAAACGAUGAACACUAGUCGUCGCCCUGCUUGUCAGGGCGGUGAUGCACUUAACAGAUUAAGUGUUCCGCCUGGGGAGUACGGUCGCAAGAUUAAAACUCAAAGGAAUAGACGGGGACCCGCACAAGUGGUGGAGCAUGUGGUUUAAUUCGAAGAUACGCGAAAAACCUUACCUGGCCUUGACAUUGAUAGAAUCCAGCAGAGAUGCAGGAGUGCCCUUCGGGGAGCUUGAAAACAGGUGCUGCACGGCUGUCGUCAGCUCGUGUCGUGAGAUGUUGGGUUAAGUCCCGCAACGAGCGCAACCCUCGUCCUUAGUUGCCAGCAGGUUAAGCUGGGCACUCUAGGGAGACUGCCUUCGCAAGAAGGAGGAAGGUGAGGACGACGUCAAGUCAUCAUGGCCCUUACGGCCAGGGCUACACACGUGCUACAAUGGGGCGUACAGAGUGUUGCAAUACCGCGAGGUGGAGCCAAUCACUUAAAGCGUCUCUCAGUUCGGAUUGUUCUCUGCAACUCGAGAGCAUGAAGCUGGAAUCAC